rnacentral:rRNA from 1 species
UACCUGCAAGUCGAGCGGAUGAGGGAGCUUGCUCCUGGAUUCAGCGGCGGACGGGUGAGUAAUGCCUAGGAAAUCUGCCUGGUAGUGGGGGAUAACGUCCGGAAACGGGCGCUAAUACCGCAUACGUCCUGAGGGAGAAAGUGGGGGAUCUUCGGACCUCACGCUAUCAGAUGAGCCUAGGUCGGAUUAGCUAGUUGGUGGGGUAAAGGCCUACCAAGGCGACGAUCCGUAACUGGUCUGAGAGGAUGAUCAGUCACACUGGAACUGAGACACGGUCCAGACUCCUACGGGAGGCAGCAGUGGGGAAUAUUGGACAAUGGGCGAAAGCCUGAUCCAGCCAUGCCGCGUGUGUGAAGAAGGUCUUCGGAUUGUAAGCACUUUAAGUUGGGAGGAAGGGCAGUAA